rnacentral:rRNA from 1 species
AUUGAACGCUGGCGGCAGGCCUAACACAUGUAAGUCGAGCGAGCGGCGGACGGGUGAGUAAUGUCUGGGAAACUGCCCGAUGGAGGGGGAUAACUACUGGAAACGGUAGCUAAUAACGCAUACCAUCAGAGGGGCCGAGAUGGGAUUAGCUAGUAGGUGGGGUAACGGCUCACCUAGGCGACGAUCCCUAGCUGGUCUGAGAGGAUGACCAGCCACACUGGAACUGAGACCCGGUCCAGACUCCUACGGGAGGCAGCAGUGGGGAAUAUUGCACAAUGGGCGCAAGCCUGAUGCAGCCAUUCCGCGUGUAUGAAGAAGGCCUUCGGGUUUUAAAGUACUUUCAGCGGGGAGGCGUUACCCGCAGAAUAAGCACCGGCUAACUCCGUGCCAGCCGCCGCGGUAAUUC